rnacentral:rRNA from 1 species
UUCAGAGGGGGCAAGCGUUAUUCGGAAUUAUUGGGCGUAAAGGGCGCGUAGGCGGCUUCGCAAGUGACGGGUGAAAUCCCUCGGCUUAACCGAGGAACUGCCUGUCAAACUGCGUGGCUUGAGACCAGGAGAGGUGAGUGGAAUUCCCAGUGUAGCGGUGAAAUGCGUAGAUAUUGGGAGGAACACCAGUGGCGAAGGCGGCUCACUGGACUGGUACUGACGCUGAGGCGCGAAAGCGUGGGGAGCAAACAGG